rnacentral:tRNA from 1 species
GGGUCGUUAGCUCAGUUGGUAGAGCUGUUGACUUUCACUCAAUGGGUCGCAGGUUCGUAUCCUGUACGACCCACCA